CUUCCGUAGGGGAACCUGAACCUGCGGAAGGAUCAUUACCGAGUUUUCGAGCUCCGGCUCGACUCUCCCACCCUUUGUGAACGUACCUCUGUUGCUUUGGCGGCUCCGGCCGCCAAAGGACCUUCAAACUCCAGUCAGUAAACGCAGACGUCUGAUAAACAAGUUAAUAAACUAAAACUUUCAACAACGGAUCUCUUGGUUCUGGCAUCGAUGAAGAACGCAGCGAAAUGCGAUAAGUAAUGUGAAUUGCAGAAUUCAGUGAAUCAUCGAAUCUUUGAACGCACAUUGCGCCCCUUGGUAUUCCGGGGGGCAUGCCUGUUCGAGCGUCAUUACAACCCUCAAGCUCUGCUUGGAAUUGGGCACCGUCCUCACUGCGGACGCGCCUCAAAGACCUCGGCGGUGGCUGUUCAGCCCUCAAGCGUAGUAGAAUACACCUCGCUUUGGAGCGGUUGGCGUCGCCCGCCGGACGAACCUUCUGAACUUUUCUCAAGG
rnacentral:rRNA from 1 species